CCAUGCAUCUACGACAAGAAGCACGGCGGCUAUAAAAACCAAUUGCAUAAAGACCGCUUGUGGCUUCAAUUUUCAAAGGAAGCAAACGUCCCAGUUGAUGUAUUGAAAAAAAGUGGAAGUGCAUCCGCGACCGCUUCUAUCGGGUGCAUAAAAAGAAGAGCACCGAGGCUGCGUCUGGUAGUGGGCAGUUGUCGCCAGACACCAAGUUAUACAAAAACUACGACAGCCUACUAUUCUUGCUGGAUGUAGAUUCAUCGAACACGAGCACAAUUGGAAAUUUCUUAACGGAGGAAGAAAUUCCUUUCGAUAACGAAGCAUCGAGUUCAUUUAUGAACUUAAGCGGCAUCAAAUCCUCAACGCCAGCUACUGCAGUGCCUCGGAAAAGUAAGAGCAAUGCUGUAGAAUGUGAGCUGCUUACCACCAUGAAAAGUGUUAGA